CCGCCGGCGACCGGCGCACGGGUGAGUAACACGUAUGCAACCUGGCCGUGACAGAUGGAUAACCGGGAGAAAUCCCGCCUAAUACAGCAUGACGCCGGGAAGGGACAUCCCUUUCCGGCCAAAGGGGGCGACUCCGGUCACGGAUGGGCAUGCGGCGCAUUAGGUAGUUGGUGGGGCAACGGCCCACCAAGCCGACGAUGCGUAGGGGUUCUGAGAGGAAGGUCCCCCACCAUUGGAACUGAGACACGGUCCAAACUCCUACGGAAGGCAGCAG
rnacentral:rRNA from 1 species